CGCGAGACCGCACGCUCUCUUUAGGCGGAGCGGGGUCGGACUGCGCAGGCGCGUGGCGCGGGUUGCUGGCAGUGCGCCUGCGCCGCGCCGGAAGCAGUUCGACGCGGUUACUGGGCGCCUCUUUGCGCGCGGGAAGAUGGCCGAGCAGGUGACUAAGUCGGUGCUGUUCGUGUGUCUGGGUAACAUCUGUCGAUCACCCAUCGCAGAAGCGGUUUUCAGAAAACUCGUAACUGAUCAAAACGUUUCAGAUAAUUGGAGGAUAGACAGUGCAGCGACGUCCACGUAUGAACUAGGAAACCCUCCUGAUUACCGGGGGCAGGCUUGCAUGAAGAGGCAUGGUGUCCCCAUGAGUCACAUUGCCCGGCAGGUACCGUACUUGACCUUGAAGGUAUCCUUGUGUGUUUUGUGUUGCAGUGGGUCAUUGACAGCAGCGCUGUUUCUGAUUGGAACGUGGGCCGGUCACCAGAUCCAAGAGCUGUGAGCUGCCUAAGACAUCAUGGCAUUAACACAGCCCAUAAAGCAAGACAGAUUACCAAAGAAGACUUUGCCACUUUUGAUUACAUACUGUGUAUGGAUGAAAGCAACCUGAGAGAUUUGAAUAGAAAAGGUAAUCAAGUUAAAAACUGCAGAGCGAAAAUUGAGCUACUUGGGAGCUACGAUCCACAAAAACAGCUCAUUAUUGAGGACCCCUAUUAUGGCAACGACUCCGACUUCGAGGCCGUCUACCAGCAGUGCGUGCGGUGCUGCAGAGCCUUCCUCGAGAAGGUGCGCUGAGCCGGCCGCCUCCCGCCGCGGCCCCUUCUCAGUCCAGUGGCACGGCGAGCUGCCCCCAGCGCAGGGUCACAGCCCUUUCCUCUGUCGACUCACUGUUUCUUACCCUAAAAGACCAUUGUAGAUGGACAUCAGCUGUGUUUUACAGAAACUAGUAAAUAAAAUUUUUGAUCGAGUUUAUGGGGUAAGUGUUCUUCGAAGAGUUGCCCCACUUUGUCCCAGUUACAAACACGGAGGAGCAGACAGAACAGCAGAGUGACAGCGUGGGACCCAGUGGCCCAGUCAGCGUCUGAGCCUCUUGCUGCCUGUCCCCCGCCCUCCCUGCCUCCUGACCCGUGUGGCCAUGGCCGUUCCUGCGCUGCCUCCUGAUGCCGGGGCCUGGGGAGGAAGUCCAUUCCCCGCAGGGUGCACACGUGUCUGCUCCUGAUAAGAAAGACGAAGAUGGGCGGGUUGAUCGUGGGCCUCGUUGCUCCGCCUUAGUUUGCGUCUGUCUGGUUUGUUUCCUAAGGAAGUCAGCUCCUUGAUCCCAUUUGAACCAUUUUGCGUCUGGAACUUGAGUUCUAUCCACAAGGAAGGAAUCUGUGUGCUGGUUCAUCUUACGGUCAGUUUGAGGGACGCCUCUGCUUUUAUACAUAUAUCUAUCUAUCUAUCUAUCUACCCGGAUGUCAAAUAUCGCUCAGCUCAGGUGGGAAAAAAAUUAUAACUUGGAAAAAGCUCUUCUUUGUUGGAUGCUUAAAUGUUGCUAUGUUAAGUAUUUUUUAUCAGUGCUUAGUUUAUGGACAAAUGUAGGUAAUUUCUGUGUACUUUGAGAUAACUAAAAUUCCCCAUAUGGAUAAAUGUCAGAAAAGAUUGUUUUCAGUAAACUGGGGAAAUAUAAAAAUACAGCUAAGACG